UCUCCUCUGCUCCGGAGAGCCCAGAUCUCCAUGCAGGGUCAAAAGCAAAGGCAGGGGAAAUGCUGCGUGUGCUUGGUGACAAACACAUCGUUCUCAAAGAAUUAAAGAAUGCAUGUGUAGGAAAUGUUAUCGUAGGGUGGCACUAGUGGCAAGGGGGCACAGUCACGGAUGUCGCUGCCAUCAGGUCUGAGUUGGCCUCUGCACCCUCUGGAAGGACUGGAAAGCAUAUCUGAAAGGAGUCAGGCCACACUGCUAUGAAGACCCAGCGUGUGACCAUGGAGACCGUGCCUCCCCUCUUCCCGAAAAACCAGAGAGUUGACUUCACCUCGUCACUUUCCAGGGUGUGUGUAUGAACAUCUGCAGGCAGAAAUAGGAAGCGGCUGCUCAUAACUGAAGCUGCAAAACUUCUGUGAAAGCAUCCACAGGCCAACAUGGCAGCUCCACAUGUGACGUCAUCAGGCCACUAAAGGGAAUGAGAAGGUGCCACAGAGACGGACAGAAGAGAAUAGAAAAGGUAACAGCAAACAGCUACAGAGUUGGUGGCUGGACUUGGCGUUUUUCUGGAAGAUCUGGAAGUCUGAAACCCAGGAGUUUGCAAGGCUGGUACUUGAUGGAGAAUGGGAAAGGGUCCCUGUCCCAUAUUUCUCUCUGGUGUCUGCUGGCUGCUGACAAUCCUAGCACCCCUUUGAUCUGUACCCUCAACAUUCCAGCAUCCCUACAUCUGCACUGUGGCCUUCUCUGUGCCAAAGCUUUCUCUUCUUUCCCUUGCAAAUACAACUGCUAAGGCCCACACUUAGCCCAGGAUGACCUCAUCCAGAGACUCUUGGCUUUAGAACAUUGGGAAGAUCCUAUUUCUAAGUGAGUUCAUGUUCACACAUAUUUGGGUUUAGUAUGUGAACAUCUUCUUUUGGAGAGAAACACAGUUCAACCUACUAUGAAGACUCAACGAAUGCCAUUGGGAAAAGCAUGGGCUACUGCUACAACCAAGGAUAGUCACUGCCAGCGGAAGAUGAGGCAACAGCAAUGCAAUCUUAGAGCUUAUUUUAGAGGACAAUGGUCUCAUAGAAAGUCUGUUUGUGUUGGACAUAGAGGUACUAAGAAUGAAGGACUCCAACCCUGGCAUUUGAAUGUCUGAGAACUCCUGAGAUAUCCUCCUGAUAGUCUACUCCGCCCACUAACAUCUGUGGAUCCCAGUAGGAAAGACUUUUGUAUGCUGGCUGGUAUUUCAAAUGCUGCAGCUCCUAGCCUGCAGUUCAUGGAGUUGCCCAACAUAGCUCCCCAAAAAGAACUCCCAAAAAGUCCAACAAAACAGACAAAAGCAAGCUAACCCUACCUUGUCCCUCU
rnacentral:lncRNA from 1 species